rnacentral:rRNA from 1 species
UCUACCGGCGGGGGACGGGUGGGGGGCUGCCCUCGGGCUGUCCCUCCCCUCCCGCGCCGGGGGCGGCGGGCCCUAUGAACCUUUACAUCUCAACCACAAGAAAACCGUCUGAGUUUAAAAACAAAUAAUCAAAACUUUCAACAACGGAUCUCUUGGCUCUGGCAUCGAUGAAGAACGCAGCGAAAUGCGAUACGUAAUGUGAAUUGCAGAAUUCAGCGAACCAUCGAAUCUUUGAACGCACAUUGCGCCCGCCAGUAUUCUGGCGGGCAUGCCUGUCCGAGCGUCAUUUCCCCCCUCACGCGCCCCGUUGCGCGCUGGUGUUGGGGCUCCUCCGCCUGGCGGAGGGCCCCUAAAGCGAGUGGCGGGCCCGUCUGGCGGCUCCGAGCGCAGUACCGAACGCAAGUUCUCCUCUCGCCCGGACAGCAUCAGUCGGCGCCUUGCCAG